UUUAUGAGUGUUUGGAAAUAGAUGUGUGCGAGCAAAAAUAGAAUAAAAAAUGUAAGUAAGUGACCACUAAAGAUGCAAUUUCAAACAAACCGAGAACCGUAAAGACAUUGCGAUAAAUGUUUACAACACAGUAUGAAAUAUACAGAGAUAGCUUCAACCAACUUCUCCAAGAAGCUAGACCUUACCUUUGUUUGAAAAUUCAUUUGUGGCUAUAGUUGAAACUUGUAUUAAAGAUGAAGCUAGUGGUGGGGUGAAUCAACAUGAGAAUCUCCAUUCGACAAAUAUAAUUACCCAAAGUUGUCGCAUCCUUGAGGAAACUAUAGAAGCAAGGUUUGCCUAUAAACAGUGCAUUUUUUGGUGUCAUUGAUUAAGGGGUGUUUUUUAUUUCACAUCAACUGCAUCACAACUUUGACAAUUUGACUAUCUUCUGUUUUGAUAGGUGAAAUUAUAACCUGCCUUAUUUUUACAACAAUAUUCUACCAAUUCACACUUUUCCACAAUUAUGAAACACUUAAUUUAUACAUUGCAGAUUUUUUGCCUUAAUUAAGUUAUAAAAUGGAACAUUAUUUUAAAUAUAUGAACAUGUCUGUUGUGGGUUUUCAACUCUUUGCUACCUGCUGUAGGAAUCAAGAUGCACAAAAAAGUCAACCUUUUUUUUAUUAGUUUAUUGUCAUUAUUCAUACUGUAUAAUCCUUAAUCACUAUGGAUUUCAAAAGAAAUUAAAUAACUAACAUAGUAAAA